rnacentral:rRNA from 1 species
AGAGUUUGAUCCUGGCUCAGGAUGAACGCUGGCGGCGUGCUUAACACAUGCAAGUCGAACGCGAAAGGGACUUCGGUCCUGAGUAAAGUGGCGCACGGGUGAGUAACGCGUAGAUAACCUGUCUUUGUGUCUGGAAUAAUACUUCGAAAGGGGUACUAAUACCGGAUAACCUUGCUUUUCACAAGUUAUGCAAGCAAAGGUGGCCUCUGAUACAAGCUACUGCAUGAAGAGGGGUCUGCGUACCAUUAGCUAGUAGGUGGGGUAAUGGCCUACCUAGGCGACGAUGGUUAGCGGGUCUGAGAGGAUGAUCCGCCACACUGGCACUGGAACACGGGCCAGACUCCUACGGGAGGCAGCAGUGAGGAAUAUUGCGCAAUGGGGGCAACCCUGACGCAGCGACGCCGCGUGAGUGAGGAAGGCCUUCGGGUCGUAAAGCUCUGUCAAGAGGAAAGAAGUGCAUAAUGGUUAAUACCUGUUAUGUUUGACGGUACCUCUAAAGGAAGCACCGGCUAACUCCGUGCCAGCAGCCGCGGUAA